rnacentral:rRNA from 1 species
UACGUAGGGUGCAAGCGUUAAUCGGAAUUACUGGGCGUAAAGCGUGCGCAGGCGGUUAUGUAAGACCGAUGUGAAAUGCCCGGGCUUAACCUGGGAACUGCAUUUGUGACUGCAUGGCUAGAGUUUGGCAGAGGGGGGUAGAAUUCCACGUGUAGCAGUGAAAUGCGUAGAUAUGUGGAGGAACACCGAUGGCGAAGGCAGCCCCCUGGGUCAAGACUGACGCUCAUGCACGAAAGCGUGGGGAGCAAACAGG